ensembl:lincRNA
UUUGUGUUGAAACUGUUGCACAUGGAUGAUAUGAGUGCAUUUCGAGUCAUGAUCAACACCACAGUGGACACCAUCAAACGUUGAAGAGGCUGCGGGGGCCAGGAUGUCGUGUUUCCUUUCGGCUCCAAUCAAAUGGGAAAAGCCCAUCAAAACGACAGGUGCGCAACACAUUCAUGGCAAGGUGGAGGUGAUGAAAAACUGAUUUGUCAUUACAAGCCGAGCUCCCACUAGGGAGUGAAAGUGAAGACGUGAGACAUCAGUAACCGCAGUAUCGAUGGAGACGGGACGACGUGAAGAUGCAAGGGACCAGUGAUGGGGAUGUCCUCGCCAUGCCUUGCAUGCAUGCUGCUGCCAACCAUGUUCCGCAUGCACCAACUCCUCACAAACCGCCACUUCUGCCAAGAACCCGAACCUCCAGGAACUUUCCAAGCACGAACAGUAACAAGCUACCAAACAACCAGGGCCUCGGGACAGAAGAACGAGCACGACCACCACAAACUACAAAAUUACUGCAAUGCCUCGCCUGUUCGAAGAACAGAGAACAAUAGCGAUACCCCGGCGUGAGCGUCAGCAUCAGCGUGAGCGUGAGCGUGAGUGUGAAAAUGUUAAAGUUUUUGGUGCAAGUUAUUUAGAAGCUUGCCAUUCAUGAAUAUGUGUACUAGGAUGCUGAUAUUUGGCAUGGAGGUUCCUUUUGGGUAUAUUAUUGAUGUAGUGAAGUUGAAAUAAAAAAGUAAUUUCAAAUGUUUUAAAUUUUUGACCUGUUUUGAACUUAACUUUUUUGUAGCACAUCA